AUGAAAUUUUCACUUAUAAAAUGACCCAAAAGAUUUUCUUUAUUACAUCUAAAGGAGAGAAAAUAUGGCUCAGUUUCUCAUAUUUGUUUAUACUUUGAUCAUUUUUAUUUCUCUAUUUCUAGUUGAAGCGUCACCGCUUCAAAGACCCUGUGUUACUGUCGCUGAUUGUCCACCGGUAAAAAAACCUCUAAAGAUGUGGUGUAUUAGACAGACUUGUUUUUAUGGUUUUGGAAAACGCCCCGAUCUUUAAGUGAAUAAUAAUAUUAUGUGCGCGUCAUAAUAGUAACACGAUGCGCUCUUUUUUUUCUUCCUUUUGUAUUAUCCCACUAAGUUUUCUGCUAGCAAGGAUUUUAACGACAUUGUUGUCUGUAAUAUGUAUCCCUUAGUAAUAUAAUACUUCCUCCGUCCCAAAUUGUAUGUCGUUUUAGGGAAAAAAAUUUAACCUAAAUUAUAUGUCGUUUUACAAUCCAAUACAAGAUUCAUUUAUCUUUUCAUAUAGUUAGUAAGCCCAUCUGUAAACAAAUAUGAGAAUUUAUUUUUCCACUCUCGAUGCAUCUUGCACGUCCUUCAAAUUCAAAAAA